rnacentral:rRNA from 1 species
CAGCAGCCGCGGUAAUACGGAGGGAGCUAGCGUUGUUCGGAAUCACUGGGCGUAAAGCGCACGUAGGCGGCUAUUCAAGUCAGGGGUGAAAGCCCGGGGCUCAACCCCGGAACUGCCUUUGAAACUAGAUAGCUUGAAUCUUGGAGAGGCGAGUGGAAUUCCGAGUGUAGAGGUGAAAUUCGUAGAUAUUCGGAAGAACACCAGUGGCGAAGGCGACUCGCUGGACAAGUAUUGACGCUGAGGUGCGAAAGCGUGGGGAGCAAACAGGAUUAGAUACCCGGGUAGUCCCUGUCUCUUAUAC